rnacentral:lncRNA from 1 species
UAGGUUUAGCAUAUUUCAAUCAAGGAAAGACUUAAGAAACAAACUAAUAGCAUAAUUCACCUUAGAAUAAGGUCAAACAAACAUUCUACAAGCUAAAGAUCGGUUGAGAUAUCAUGCAAAAUCAGUGAAAGAUCAAUCACAAAGAUUUAGGAAUUCAAAAAUAGAAGAUAGUACUGAUUUUGCACCACUUUAUAAGAGCAAACACAUGGUAAGCAAAACCAGAACCCUGAGAGGUCGUGCAGGAGAAGAGUCAUAUAUAAAAUUAGGGAUUCAUGUAGAGCAUAAUUUGAAUUAGUAAGCUAAGCAUGAUACUGGUAGGAGAAGUGAAGAUUCAGAAAUUUUGGUGAAGGAAAUAGGGCAAAAUCACAUAAUAGGGAGGGAUAACCACAAUUAGGGACCCUAACAAGCAAACAUAGGGCAAGAACCAUAGAAUUAUAGAAAUAUACAGAUUAACGGAACAUGUUAUCAAAUACAGAAACGCAAGAUUGGAACUAAGGAAUUAGGAUUUUCAACAUUAACGGGUUGAAAAAGAAGUAAAAUAAUAGAAUAAGUCGAAAUAUG